UACGGAGGUGGCGAGCGUUGUCCGAAGUUACUGGGCGUAAAGCGCGUGUAGGCGGAAGCCUAAGUCCGAUCUGAAAGCCCCUGGCUCAACCAGGGAUCCGGACCGGAAACUGGGCUCUUGAGGACGGCAGGGGAGUGUGGAAUUCCUGGUGUAGCGGUGAAAUGCGUAGAGAUCAGGAGGAACACCCAUGGCGAAGGCAGCACUCUGGACCGGACCUGACGCUGAGACGCGAAAGCGUGGGGAGCGAACGGG
rnacentral:rRNA from 1 species